rnacentral:rRNA from 1 species
UUCAGCGGUUAUUGAGCAGGGGUCACACCCGUUCCCAUUCCGAACACGGCAGUUAAGCCCUGCAUCGCCGAUGGUACCUGGCCUACGGGUCCGGGAGAGUAGGUCGCCGCUGGAUUCACGGGCCCCUUGAGGAGUUAACCUCGAGGGGCCCUUUUCUUUUUGUAUUUUCCCCAUGGGCUUCGCGUUACGGCGUUGCUCGCCCCCUCGUGUACCGGAGUACACCACGGCGGCUCGCGCCUUGUCCCGCUCGUCCCUGGGAAAAAUACGGUACGUCGGGCGUAAUCG